CUAAAUCAAUUUCCUACUCACCAGCUGCCCCAUUUCCCCUUUCCUCCCUCGCUCUUAGCGUCCUCUCUCGUAUGCCAUACCUGAACCUCGCACAAAUUAGUGCAAAGUCACUGAAAGACAACUAGAAGACCAAUAUCAUUACCCUCCAACCGCCAAUGUAGCCGAAAUUCCCAUUUUCAUCAUCCCUUUUCAAACCCCCAAUUUUGAAACCCUAGCCUAAAAUGUGAAAGGUUCCAAAUCUCAUCAUCACACCUUUUGCUAUUCAAAAUCGCCAAUAAUAUAUGGCAAGCAUUUCAGAUUCAUGAGGAUCUCCGACCUCAUCGUGAUGUAUGACGACCCAUAGGUCAAACGAAGGACCUCUGGGUAAGAGCUUUAUCCAAAGGUCACCAGCCUCAACGGCUAACUUAUUUCGUCACUUCUAAGGGUAAAAUUGUCACUCUUUUCUUUCGCCCCUCUGAUUUCAUCAUGCAUCAAUUCUGUCAUGUGAUUCUUUUAUCAACACUCAUUAUGGUUAUUUGUUUUCUAUCAAUUUUUGAAUCUUCAAACCUCAAAACCUAAAGGCAAUCCUUGGCUAUAAAUACCGACUUCAAUUGCCGCACCUAACAUCGGAGAACUAGUAAUAAAUGAAAAUAUACUAAAGUAUAAAUCUCUCUGCCUAUCGCUUACAAUUUUGUUUUCCUUUCUUUUCAUUUCUGGUUGAGCUUAAUCGUCUUAAAGUAGACUGUUGAGCAUUGAUUCCUACAACUAAGGUCAAUUACUCGGUUUGCUGCCCUAAGGAAGGAAUAUCGAAAAAAAUAGUCGAAUGAAAAUUGCACAAAAAAAAGGACAAAAAAUGCAAGAAAAGAGCGCAAAAGCAUCAAGUACCCAAACCGUGCUACAGGCCAAGUAAAGCCAGCUUGACCGUGCUACAGACCAGGAUUCGUGAGGUCUAUAGCCAUCUUGACCGUGCUAUAGACCAGGCUUCGCGAGGUCUAUUGCCAGGUUGACUGCGCUAUAAGUCUGGCCUCACGAGGUCUAUAGCUCGGUAAUUAAAAGUCGCAGGUUAAAAGACUCCGACCCGGAUUUGGACUUAAGGACUUCAACCCUAGUCUAUAAAUACUCCCUAAACAUGUCUGGCCAAAGGAGAUGACGUUUUUAGAGCAGAUUCGACCAAAAAGGACACUAUUUUGGAGAAGAAAAAGGCUACAGAUCACGGUGGAGCAAGAAUCAAACGACAAUUCCCUCCGUUUAUCUCUGUACUUUGUAGUUUAAUGUCUUUGAACAUCAUGAUGAUUGUUGAUACAUUUAUGAGUAGCUAAAGUUUCUAAUCUAGGGUUUGAUGGAACCUAUUGGAGGAUGA